UACGUAGGGUGCAAGCGUUGUCCGGAAUUAUUGGGCGUAAAGAGCUCGUAGGCGGUUUGUCGCGUCUGCUGUGAAAACCCGAGGCUCAACCUCGGGCCUGCAGUGGGUACGGGCAGACUAGAGUGCGGUAGGGGGUGACUGGAAUUCCUGGUGUAGCGGUGGAAUGCGCAGAUAUCAGGGAAAGAAACACCCCGUGGCGAAAGGCGGGCUCUCUGGGGACGG
rnacentral:rRNA from 1 species